UACGGGGGGCGCAAGCGUUGCUCGGAAUCACUGGGCGUAAAGCGUACGCAGGCGGCACGUUAAGUCGGGUGUGAAAGCCCGGGGCUCAACCCCGGAAUUGCAUUCGAUACUGGCGUGCUUGAGUACGGUAGAGGGAAGCGGAAUUCCUGGUGUAGAGGUGAAAUUCGUAGAUAUCAGGAGGAACAUCAGUGGCGAAAGCGGCUUCCUGGUCCGAUACUGACGCUCAUGUACGAAAGCGUGGGGAGCAAACAGG
rnacentral:rRNA from 1 species